rnacentral:rRNA from 1 species
CGGCACGGGUGAGUAACACGUAUGCAACCUGCCUGCCACAGCCGGAUAAUCGGGAGAAAUUCCGUCUAAUACGGCAUAACGCAUCGACGGGACAUCCUGUUGGUGCCAAAGGUUGAUUCCGGUGGCGGAUGGGCAUGCGUCGCAUUAGUUAGUUGGCGGUGUAACGGACCACCAAGACGACGAUGCGUAGGGGUUCUGAGAGGAAGGUCCCCCACACUGGUACUGAGACACGGACCAGACUCCUACGGAAGGCAGCAG